AGUGAACGCUGGCGGUAGGCCUAACACAUGCAAGUCGAACGGCAGCACAGUAAGAGCUUGCUCUUACGGGUGGCGAGUGACGGACGGGUGAGGAAUACAUCGGAAUCUACUUUUUCGUGGGGGAUAACGUAGGGAAACUUACGCUAAUACCGCAUACGACCUACGGGUGAAAGCAGGGGAUCUUCGGACCUUGCGCGAUUGAAUGAGCCGAUGUCGGAUUAGCUAGUUGGCGGGGUAAAGGCCCACCGAGGCGACGAUCCGUAGCUGGUCUGAGAGGAUGAUCAGCCACACUGGAACUGAGACACGGUCCAGACUCCUACGGGAGGCAGCAGUGGGGAAUAUUGGACAAUGGGCGCAAGCCUGAUCCAGCCAUACCGCGUGGGUGAAGAAGGCCUUCGGGUUGUAAAGCCCUUUUGUUGGGAAAGAAAAGCAGCAGGUUAAUACCCCGCUGUUCUGACGGUACCCAAAGAAUAAGCACCGGCUAACUUCGUG
rnacentral:rRNA from 1 species